rnacentral:rRNA from 1 species
UACGGAGGGUGCAAGCGUUGUCCGGAAUUACUGGGCGUAAAGCGCACGUAGGCGGCUUUGUAAGUAAGAGGUGAAAGCCUGGAGCUCAACUCCAGAACUGCCUUUUAGACUGCAUCGCUUGAAUCCAGGAGAGGUGAGUGGAAUUCCGAGUGUAGAGGUGAAAUUCGUAGAUAUUCGGAAGAACACCAGUGGCGAAGGCGGCUCACUGGACUGGUAUUGACGCUGAGGUGCGAAAGCGUGGGGAGCAAACAGG